UGAGGAAUCUUGGGCAAUGGGCGAAAGCCUGACCCAGCAACGCCGCGUGAGUGAGGAAGGUUUUCGGAUCGUAAAGCUCUGUCGGAUGGAAAGAAGUGCGCAGAUGUUAAUACCAUCUGUGUUUGACGGUACCAUCAAAGGAAGCACCGGCUAACUCCGUGCCAGCAGCCGCGGUAAUACGGGGGGUGCAAGCGUUAUUCGGAAUUAUUGGGCGUAAAGAGCGUGUAGGCGGUUUAGUAAGUCAGAUGUGAAAUCCCCGGGCUUAACCCGGGAAGUGCAUUUGAAACUACUUUACUGGAGUGGGGAAGAGGAAAGCGGAAUUCCUAGUGUAGAGGUGGAAUUCGCAGAUAUUAGGAGGAACACCAGCGGCGAAGGCGGCUUUCUGGUCCCCUACUGACGCUGAGACGCGAAAGCGUGGGUAGCAAACAGG
rnacentral:rRNA from 1 species